rnacentral:rRNA from 1 species
AUACGUAGGGGGCGAGCGUUGUCCGGAAUGAUUGGGCGUAAAGGGCGCGUAGGCGGCCCGGUAAGUCUGGAGUGAAAGUCCUGCUUUUAAGGUGGGAAUUGCUUUGGAUACUGUCGGGCUUGAGUGCAGGAGAGGUAAGUGGAAUUCCCAGUGUAGCGGUGAAAUGCGUAGAGAUUGGGAGGAACACCAGUGGCGAAGGCGACUUACUGGACCGUAACUUACGCUGAGGCGCGAAAGUGUGGGGAGCAAACAGGAUUAGAUACCCUGGUAGUCCACACUGUAAACGAUGAAUGCUAGGUGUAGGGGGUAUCGACCCCUUCUGUGCCGCAGUUAACACGAUAAGCAUUCCGCCUGGGGAGUACGGCCGCAAGGUUGAAACUCAAAGGAAUUGACGAGC